AGUCGAGCGGACCGACGGGAGCUUGCUCCCUUAGGUCAGCGGCGGACGGGUGAGUAACACGUGGGUAACCUGCCUGUAAGACUGGGAUAACUCCGGGAAACCGGGGCUAAUACCGGAUGCUUGAUUGAACCGCAUGGUUCAAUCAUAAAAGGUGGCUUUUAGCUACCACUUACAGAUGGACCCGCGGCGCAUUAGCUAGUUGGUGAGGUAACGGCUCACCAAGGCGACGAUGCGUAGCCGACCUGAGAGGGUGAUCGGCCACACUGGGACUGAGACACGGCCCAGACUCCUACGGGAGGCAGCAGUAGGGAAUCUUCCGCAAUGGACGAAAGUCUGACGGAGCAACGCCGCGUGAGUGAUGAAGGUUUUCGGAUCGUAAAACUCUGUUGUUAGGGAAGAACAAGUACCGUUCGAAUAGGGCGGCACCUUGACGGUACCUAACCAGAAAGCCACGGCUAACUACGUGCCAGCAGCCGCGGUAAACGUAGGUGGCAAGCGUUGUCCGGAAUUAUUGGGCGUAAGCGCGCGCAGGCGGUUUCUUAGUCUGAUGUGAAACCCCCGGCUCACCGGGGAGGGCAUUGGAAACUGGGGA
rnacentral:rRNA from 1 species